rnacentral:lncRNA from 1 species
GAAAAUGUUUCCGUCAAUAUUCGUAUGUUUAUCUUUUAAUAAUUCAUUUAAUAAAAAUUUACUAGUUCAUAACAGUCUCCUGAUGCAAGUAAAUUGAUAAAUUAGUGACAAACUUAUCAAUUAGAAUAAAAAACAUAUAAUUAUUUUGAAAUAUUGCGUAUCUUGAACCAAACGAUCCCUUACGGUAAUAGCACAUUAGAAUCGACAAUCGAUUUCAUCAAAUAUAUUCUACACUAUUUAAAUUUUUUAUCAAUUAAAUUUUAUAAUUUUAUAAUAUUAUUUAACUAGUGAUUAAGUAGGGUUCAAUUUACUUAUAUUACCCAUUAAAAAUUACUUAUUUUUGAACCACUUAAAAGACAAAACAAAUAUUACCGAAAAAUUACAAAAUAUUUAUUUUAAAAAAUUUAAAUAUUAUAAAUUAUAUUUAAUAUAUUGUUGACCAUCAUCGACAUAGAAACUUUGAACUUUAUAAAAGAAAAGAGUAAACUUCAAAUAUAACUUCUCUGAUUUUACACUUUUUCAUUUUAGUAUCAUAUGGUUUAAAGUAUAUCAAUUUAGUAUUUUGUGAUUUUUUUUUUUUUCAUUAGCUUCUUUAUUAACAUUUCGUUAAAUUAUAUACAAAAAACUUCAGAUAUCCCAUCUGGAUUUAUCAAAUAUUCACUUUAGUACUUUUUAAUUUUAACUUUAUCAUUAAUUUAAUAAAAAUAAUAAUAAUAAAAAAAAUAAUCGGAUAUUAAAUUUAUAUAUUUUAAACCAUAAAAUAUUAAAAUUAAAAAAUAUGAAACCACGGAAAUGUUAUUUCAAGUUUUUUCCAAAAAAAGACCAUAAAUGAACCGAUAGCAUCAUUUUAGCUUUUAGCUCCUAUAAGCACUCCCUAUUAAUCACACGUCACAUUUUGUUCCUUUCUCUUUCUUUUAAAAAAGUUUACUGUAUAUAUACAUUUGUACCACAUUAUUAGUAAUAAAUUGAUCAUUUUUUUUAAUAAUAUAAUAAAAUAUUUUUUAUUAAUUAUGAUAAAAUAAAUAAAUCAAAAAAAUAAUUUUAUUAAUUAAAAACACCUCCCUUCCCCCCUACUACUAGGGGUGGAAACGAGCCGAGCUCGAGCGAGCUUAUGUCAGCUCAAAUUCGGCUUGAAAUUAAUUUCGAGCCUAAAUCUAGGCUCAAGCUCGGCUUGAAAUUAAUUUGAGCCGAGCUCGAGCGAGCCUAAUUUCGAGUCGAGCCGAGCUCGAGCUCUAAACGAGCCGAUUGAAAUUCUCGACAUUAUAUAAUCAACAGUUUAGUUUUUAUAUAACAUUACCUACAAUUUGAUGCAACAUGUCCAAUAGUUCAAAAUACAAAAUAAUUGCAAGAAAUGUGAGCUAUGAUGACAGCCUGACUGGAUGAGGGUCUGAGGGAGAACGAGAGAGAGAGAGAGAGAGAGAGAGGGGGGGAAAAAAAUUAGGGAUUUGAGAAUUUGAAUGUUAUCAUGUUUUAGGAUUAUGUGUAAUAGUGAAAGUCUGAAAGAGAUAGUGUGUUAUGUAAAUUUAGAGUUGGGCUCAAUUGCAUGGUUGUACUUAUUGGGUUUAUUUUAUGGGCCAACAAUAAUGGCUCAAAUUAAAUUAAAGCCUAUAUAUAAUUAAAAUACAUUAUAUAUAUAUAUAUAUAUAUGAGUCCGGCCGGGAUACUAUCGAUAGUACCAAGGAUUUGAUGCUAUCGAGUUUUCCACCGUUAGAUUUAACCCUCUGAUUAUUUUUACCCGUUAGAUUACAUUAUUCAACCAACCACUCAUUCAACCCUAGGAGGCCCACAUCAUUCUAACCACCCAUUUCUCAAAUAGCACCAAUAGCUUGGUGCUGUUGAUAGUAUUCCAGCCUAGUUCAUAUAUAUAUAUAUAUAUAUAUAUAUAUGAACUGAGCUCCUAUACUUUUAAAAGUACCAAGUUAUUGGUGCUUGUAAGUUUUCAACCUUUGGAUUAAGGGAUGUGCGGUUAGGAUGAUGUGGGCCUCCUAGGGUUGAGUGGGUGGUUGGUUGAAUAGUAUAAUCAACGGGUAAAAAUGAUCAAAGGCGUAGAUCUAACGGUAAAAAAUUUACAAGCACCAAAUGCUUGGUGCUUUUACAAGCACCAUAGCCGGACUCAUACAGAGUUGAGCUAUGAUACUUUUACAAGUAUCACCAUCAUGGUGCUAUUAGGUUUUAAGCUAUUGGAUCUAUUUUUUGAUUAUUAAUGGCCCUUGGAUUAAACACUAUUCCACCACCACCUACCCCCACUUACCACCAUCAUCUCAACCUCACAUCUCUCCAUCCAAGGGCUAAAAACACACAAGUAUCACCCCCAUGAUACUUUUACAAGUAUUCUAGCCCUACUCUAUAUAUAUAUAUAUAUAUAUAUAUAUAUAUUCGAGCUUUUCGAGCCUAAUUCGAACGAGCCGAGUAAUACUCAAGCUCGGCUUGAAAUGAAUUUCGAGCCUUUUAUUUUGUUCAAGCUCGGUUCAUUUAAUUUCGAGUCGAGCUCGGAUGAGCCAAAUAUCGAGUCGAACACGAGUC